GUGCUCACUUCAGCAGCCCAUAUACUAGAAUUGGAAUGAUACAGAGAUUAGCAUGGCUUCUGCGCAAGGAUGACAUGCAAUUUGUGAAGAGUUCCAUAUUCUU
ensembl:snRNA U6 U6 spliceosomal RNA